rnacentral:rRNA from 1 species
GUGGGGAAUUUUGGACAAUGGGCGCAAGCCUGAUCCAGCCAUUCCGCGUGCAGGAUGAAGGCCUUCGGGUUGUAAACUGCUUUUGUACGGAACGAAACGGCUCUGGUUAAUACCCGGGGCUAAUGACGGUACCGUAAGAAUAAGCACCGGCUAACUACGUGCCAGCAGCCGCGGUAAUACGUAGGGUGCAAGCGUUAAUCGGAAUUACUGGGCGUAAAGCGUGCGCAGGCGGUUUUGUAAGACAGGCGUGAAAUCCCCGGGCUCAACCUGGGAAUGGCGCUUGUGACUGCAAAGCUGGAGUGCGGCAGAGGGGGAUGGAAUUCCGCGUGUAGCAGUGAAAUGCGUAGAUAUGCGGAGGAACACCGAUGGCGAAGGCAAUCCCCUGGGCCUGCACUGACGCUCAUGCACGAAAGCGUGGGGAGCAAACAGGAUUAGAAACCCGGGUAGUCC